UGCCGCGUGCAGGAAGAAGGCGUUAUGCGUUGUAAACUGCUUUUAUACAGGAAGAAACGACCCUUGCGAGGGGCAUUGACGGUACUGUAUGAAUAAGCACCGGCUAACUCCGUGCCAGCAGCCGCGGUAAUACGGAGGGUGCAAGCGUUGUCCGGAUUUAUUGGGUUUAAAGGGUGCGCAGGUGGUUUAUUAAGUCAGUGGUGAAAGACGGUCGCUCAACGAUUGCAGUGCCAUUGAUACUGGUAGACUUGAGUAAAGUAGAGGUGGGCGGAAUUGAUAGUGUAGCGGUGAAAUGCAUAGAUAUUAUCAAGAACUCCAAUUGCGUAGGCAGCUCACUUGGCUUUUACUGACACUCAUGCACGAAAGUGUGGGUAUCAAACAGGAUUAGAUACCCUGGUAGUCCACACUGUAAACGAUGAUAACUAGGUGUCGGCUUUUCGGAGUCGGUGCCACAGCGAAAG
rnacentral:rRNA from 1 species